rnacentral:rRNA from 1 species
GACGAACGCUGGCGGCGUGCUUUAGGCAUGCAAGUCGAACGCGAACGCCCCUUCGGGGGUGCGUUGAGUGGCGAACGGGUGAGUAACACGUGGGUAACCUGCCCCUCGCAGGGGGAUAACCGGGGGAAACCCCGGCUAAUACCCCGUACGCUUGCUGGGGCGCAUGCUCCGGCAAGGAAAGGUAGCUUCGGCCAUCCGGCGAGGGAGGCGCCCGCGGCCCAUUGGCUAGUUGGGGGGGUAACGGCCCACCAAGGCGACGCUGGGUAGCUGGCCGAGGGGGGGGGGCAGCCCACUGGGACUUGGCAAACGGCCCGGACCCUUACGGGGGGCAGCGUCGGGGAAUCUUGCGCAAGGGGCGAAAGCCUGACGAAGCAACGCCGGGUGGGCGAUGAAGGCCUUCGGGUCGUAAAGCCCUGUUGUCGGGGACGAAGGGAGAAGGGUUAAUAGCCCCUGGCCUGACGGUACCCGACGAGGAAGCCCCGGCUAACUACGUG